rnacentral:misc_RNA from 1 species
AUAUACUCCAUCCAUCUUAUAAUAUAAGGGGUUUUGGAGAGAUGUGACAUAUCCUAGUACUACGAAUGUGGACAGACUUAUUCGUAGUACUAGGAUAUGUCACAUCCCCUUCUAGGUUGAGUUUUUUUUAGAUGGAGGAAGUAAACUAUA